CUCAAGGAAGCGUUUUGUCCACGUGGAUAGAAAACGCUUCCUUGAGGGUGCGCUUUGUGUCCACGUGGACAAAGCGCUUCCUUGAAG
rfam:Gossypium raimondii Chr09_contig_1619, whole genome shotgun sequence.